rnacentral:rRNA from 1 species
GAUGAACGCUGGCGGCGUGCCUAAUACAUGCAAGUCGAGCGAACAGACGAGGAGCUUGCUCCUCUGACGUUAGCGGCGGACGGGUGAGUAACACGUGGAUAACCUACCUAUAAGACUGGGAUAACUUCGGGAAACCGGAGCUAAUACCGGAUAAUAUAUUGAACCGCAUGGUUCACUAGUGAAAGACGGUUUUGCUGUCACUUAUAGAUGGAUCCGCGCCGCAUUAGCUAGUUGGUAAGGUAACGGCUUGCCAAGGCAACGAUGCGUAGCCGACCUGAGAGGGUGAUCGGCCACACUGGAACUGAGACACGGUCCAGACUCCUACGGGAGGCAGCAGUAGGGAAUCUUCCGCAAUGGGCGAAAGCUUGACGGAGCAACGCCGCGUGAGUGAUGAAGGUCUUCGGAUCGUAAAACUCUGUUAUUAGGGAAGAACAAAUGUGUAAGUAACUAUGCACGUCUUGACGGUACCUAAUCAGAAAGCCACGGCUAACUACGUG